rnacentral:rRNA from 1 species
GAUGAACGCUGGCGGUAUGCUUAACACAUGCAAGUCGAACGGACUCUUCGGAGUUAGUGGCGGACGGGUGAGUAACGCGUGAGAAUCUGGCUUUGGGUUCGGGACAACCACUGGAAACGGUGGCUAAUACCGGAUGUGCCGAGAGGUAAAAGAGAAAUUGCCUGAAGAUGAGCUCGCGUCUGAUUAGCUAGUUGGUGAGGUAAAGGCUCACCAAGGCAGCGAUCAGUAGCUGGUCUGAGAGGAUGACCAGCCACACUGGGACUGAGACACGGCCCAGACUCCUACGGGAGGCAGCAGUGGGGAAUUGUCCGCAAUGGGCGAAAGCCUGACGGAGCAAUACCGCGUGAGGGAAGAAGGCUCUUGGGUUGUAAACCUCUUUUCUUAGGGAAGAACAAAAUGACGGUACCUAAGGAAUCAGCAUCGGCUAACUCCGUG